rnacentral:rRNA from 1 species
ACUCCUGCGGGAGGCAGCAGUGGGGAAUAUUGGACAAUGGGCGCAAGCCUGAUCCAGCCAUGCCGCGUGAGUGAUGAAGGCCCUAGGGUUGUAAAGCUCUUUCACCGGUGAAGAUAAUGACGGUAACCGGAGAAGAAGCCCCGGCUAACUUCGUGCCAGCAGCCGCGGUAAUACGAAGGGGGCUAGCGUUGUUCGGAUUUACUGGGCGUAAAGCGCACGUAGGCGGACUAUUAAGUCAGGGGUGAAAUCCCGGGGCUCAACCCCGGAACUGCCUUUGAUACUGGUAGUCUUGAGUUCGAGAGAGGUGAGUGGAAUUCCGAGUGUAGAGGUGAAAUUCGUAGAUAUUCGGAGGAACACCAGUGGCGAAGGCGGCUCACUGGCUCGAUACUGACGCUGAGGUGCGAAAGCGUGGGGAGCAAACAGGAUUAGAAACCUGUAGUCCCAUGA